UACGAAGGGUGCAAGCGUUACUCGGAAUUACUGGGCGUAAAGCGUGCGUAGGCGGUUUGUUAAGUCUGUUGUGAAAGCCCCGGGCUCAACCUGGGAAUGGCAAUGGAAACUGGCGAGCUAGAGUACGGUAGAGGAGAGUGGAAUUCCCGGUGUAGCAGUGAAAUGCGUAGAGAUCGGGAGGAACAUCAGUUGCGAAGGCGGCUCUCUGGACCAGUACUGACGCUGAGGCACGAAAGCGUGGGGAGCAAACGGG
rnacentral:rRNA from 1 species